rnacentral:rRNA from 1 species
CAUAACCGCCAGGGAACUACGAGUUUAAUCUUAAAACCCAAAGGAUUUGACGGUGCCCCACCCACCUAGAGGAGCCUGUUUUUUAAUCGACACCCCCCGAUAUACCUUACCACUUCUUGCCCCCCAGUCUGUAUACCUCCGUCGCAAGCUUACCAUGUGAACGCAUAGUGGGCCAAAAGACUUACUGUCCAUACGUCAGGUCAAGGUGCAGCUCACGAAAUGGGAAACAAUGGGCUACAAUUUCUACAAAGAACAUACGAAAAACUGCAUGCAACACAGUCAUGAAGGUGGAUUUAGUAGUAAAAAGAAAAUAGAGAGUUCUUUUUAAUUAUGGCGCUGGGACGCGU